rnacentral:rRNA from 1 species
CACGCCGUAAACGAUGAGUGCUAGACGUUGGAAGGUUUACCUUUCAGUGUCGCAGCUAACGCAUGAAGCACUCCGCCUGGGGAGUACGGUCGCAAGAUUAAAACUCAAAGGAAUUGACGGGGGCCCGCACAAGCGGUGGAGUAUGUGGUUUAAUUCGACGCAACGCGAAGAACCUUACCAGCUCUUGACAUGGGAAGUAUGGGUCACAGAAAUGAGAUCCUUCAGUUCGGCUGGCUUCCACACAGGUGC